rnacentral:lncRNA from 1 species
CCCGCCCCGGCGGGCACCGCUGCAGCGGGCAGGUUUGGGGCAAAAACGGGGAGAGCAUCAGCCCGGGCGUCACGCCUCUCUGCUCCCCUCGGCUGCACGCUGCGUGCGGUGCCUGGAGUCCCGCGGAUCGGGGGCUGUUGCGCAGAACAUCCCUUUUAAAGGCGUCUCUUGGCACAAAGGUUCUGAGUCCCUGGCUGUUACUGGUGUGUUGGAAAGCAAUGACUCCUCAGAUGUUCCUGUAUACCUUUAUCUGUCUGCCUCCAAUUACUUUAUGAGCUCAUGAAAAUGAACACAGGGCAUCUUUGACAUUCCUCUCUCUCAUUUCCUCUCCUAUUUUUUACAUAGGGCACUUUUGCCAAUAACUCUUUCCUAGU